rnacentral:rRNA from 1 species
GGCUUAAUGAUUUUAUAAUUUUAGGUCUAUCUGCCCAAUGAUAAAAUAUUAAAUGGCUGCAGUAUAAUUGACUGUACAAAGGUAGCAUAAUAAAUUGUUUUUUAAUUGAAAACUUGAAUGAAAGAGUUAAUGAGAUACAUACUGUCUCAUAUAUAUAAGUUGAAAUUAAAUUUUUAGUUAAAAUGCUUAAAUUAAUUUAUGGGACGAUAAGACCCUAUAGAAUUUUAUAUUUAUAUAUAAAUUAAUUUAAUUUUAUAUAUAAAUAUUUAAUUGGGAGGAUUAAUAAAUUUAAUUAACUUUAAUAAAAAUUAAAACUUUAAUUUUAGAAUUUAUAAUGAUCUUUUAAUAAAAAUUAUUAGAAAAAAUUACCUUAGGGAUAACAGCGUAAUAUCUUUUUAAAGAUCAAAUUGAUAAAGAUGAUUGCGACCUCGAUGUUGAAUUAAGAUAAAUUUUAAAUGUAGAAGUUUAAUAAUUGAGUCUGUUCGACUUUUAAAAUCUUACAUGAUUUGAGUUCAAAUCGACGUGAGU